rnacentral:rRNA from 1 species
UGAGUACGAGCUGCUACGGCAGCGAAGUGGGUGAUGUCAUGCUUCCAAGAAAAGCCCUAUACCCGUUAAGGCAUGAUGGCCUGUACCCGAAACCGACACAGGUGGGGUGGUAGAGAAUACCGAGGGGCGCGAGGUAACUCUCUCUAAGGAACUCGGCAAAAUGGCCCCGUAACUUCGGGAGAAGGGGUGCCACCGCAAGGUGGUCGCAGUGAAGAGGCCCAGGCGACUGUUUACCAAAAACACAGGUCUCCGCUAAGUCGCAAGACGAUGUAUGAGGGCUGACGCCUGCCCAGUGCCGGAAGGUUAAGGAAGCUGGUCAGCGUAAGCGAAGCUAGCGACUGAAGCCCCGGUGAACGGCGGCCGUAACUAUAACGGUCCUAAGGUAGCGAAAUUCCUUGUCGGGUAAGUUCCGACCCGCACGAAAGGCGUAACGAUCUGGGCGCUGUCUCGGAGAGAGGCUCGGCGAAAUAGAAUUGUCUGUGAAGAUGCGGACUACGUGCACCCGGACAGAAAGACCCUAUGAAGCUUUACUGUAGCUUGGUAUUGUGCUCGGGCUCGGAAUGCGCAGGAUAGGUGGGAGGCUAUGAACCAUUGCUUGUGGGUGAUGGUGAGCCACUGGUGAGAUACCACUCUUUCCGAGCUAGAGUUCUAACAGCCACCCGUUAUCCGGGGGCUGGACAGUAUCAGGUGGGCAGUUUGACUGGGGCGGUCGCCUCCUAAAAGGUAACGGAGGCGCGCAAAGGUUUGCUCAGGCUGGUUGGAAAUCAGCCGACGAGUGUAAAAGCAGAAGCAAGCUUGACUGUGAGACCUACAAGUCGAACAGGGAGGAAACUCGGCUUUAGUGAUCCGACGGUUCUGCGUGGAAGGGCCGUCGCUCAACGGAUAGAAGUUACUCUAGGAUAACAGGCUGAUCUCCCCCAAGAGUUCACAUCGACGGGGAGGUUUGGCACCUCGAUGUCGGCUCAUCGCAACCUGGGGCUGAAGUCGGUCCCAAGGGUUGGGCUGUUCGCCCAUUAAAGCGGUACGCGAGCUGGGUUCAGAACGUCGUGAGACAGUUCGGUCCAUAUCCGGUGCAUGCGCAGGAAUAUUGAGAGGAUUUCUCCCUAGUACGAGAGGACCGGGAGGAACGCACCUCUGGUGUACCAGUUAUCGUGCCAACGGUAAACGCUGGGUAGCCAUGUGCGGAGAGGAUAACCGCUGAAAGCAUCUAAGUGGGAAGCCCACCUCAAGAUGAGUAUUCCCAUGGGGUAACCCAGUAAGGUCACGGGAAGAACACCCGUUGAUAGGCUCUACGUGGAAGCGCAGUAAUGUGUGAAGCGGAGGAGUACUAAUAGACCGAGGGCUUGACC